rnacentral:rRNA from 1 species
AGUGAACGCUGGCGGUAGGCCUAACACAUGCAAGUCGAACGGCAGCACAGUAAGAGCUUGCUCUUACGGGUGGCGAGUGGCGGACGGGUGAGGAAUACAUCGGAAUCUACUUUUUCGUGGGUGAUAACGUAGGGAAACUUACGCUAAUACCGCAUACGACCUACGGAUGAAAGCAGGGGAUCUUCUGACCUUGCGCGAUUGAAUGAGCCGAUGUCGGAUUAGCUAGUUGGCGGGGUAAAGGCCCACCAAGGCGACGAUCCGUAGCUGGUCUGAGAGGAUGAUCAGCCACACUGGAACUGAGACACGGUCCAGACUCCUGCGGGAGGCAGCAGUGGGGAAUAUUGGACAAUGGGCGCAAGCCUGAUCCAGCCAUACCGCGUGAGUGAAGAAGGCCUUCGGGUUGUAAAGCCCUUUUGUUGGGAAAGAAAAGCAGCAGGUUAAUCCCCCGCUGUUCUGACGGUACCCAAAGAAUAAGCACCGGCUAACUUCGUG